CCGAGUUCUAACAAACUCCCAAACCCCUGUGAACAUACCUAUCGUUGCUUCGGCGGGACCGCCCCGGGCGCCUUUCGAGGUGCCCCGGAACCAGGCGCCCGCCGGGGACACCAAACUCUUGAUUGUUAUAGUGGCAUUCUCUGAGUAAAUUAUACAAAUAAAUCA
rnacentral:misc_RNA from 1 species